rnacentral:rRNA from 1 species
UGAACGCUAGCGACAGGCUUAACACAUGCAAGUCGAGGGGUAACAGGGUAGCAAUACCGCUGACGACCGGCGCACGGGUGAGUAACGCGUAUGCAACCUGCCUAUAACUGGGGAAUAGCUCCCUGAAAGGGGAAUUAACACCGCAUAACACUAUUGAUUCGCAUGGAUUAGUAGUUAAAUGUAGCGAUACAGGUUAUAGAUGGGCAUGCGUGACAUUAGCUAGUUGGUGAGGUAACGGCUCACCAAGGCUACGAUGUCUAGGGGUUCUGAGAGGAAGGUCCCCCACACUGGUACUGAGACACGGACCAGACUCCUACGGGAGGCAGCAGUGAGGAAUAUUGGUCAAUGGGCGCAAGCCUGAACCAGCCAUGUCGCGUGCAGGAAGACUGCCCUAUGGGUUGUAAACUGCUUUUAUAGUAGAAGAAACACAUCUACGCGUAGAUGUCUGCCAGUAUACUAUGAAUAAGCAUCGGCUAACUCCGUG